CCCGCUCAGAAACUCAAAGGAAUUGACGGGGGCCCGCACAAGCGGUGGAGCAUGUGGUUUAAUUCGAAGCAACGCGAAGAACCUUACCAGGCCUUGACAUGCAGAGAACUUUCCAGAGAUGGAUUGGUGCCUUCGGGAACUCUGACACAGGUGCUGCAUGGCUGUCAUCAGCUCGUGUCGUGAGAUGUUGGGUUAAGUCCCGCAACGAGCGCAACCCUUGCCUUUAGUUGCCAGCAGUUCGGCUGGGCACUCUAAAGGGACUGCCGGUGUUAAACCGGAGGAAGGUGGGGAUGACGUCAAGUCCUCAUGGCCUUUAUGACCAGGGCUACACGCGUACUACAAUGGCCGAUACAAAGGGCAGCGACACUGCGAGGUGAAGCCAAUCCCGUAAAAUCGGUCUCAGUCCGGAUUGGAGUCUGCAACUCGACUCCAUGAAGUUGGAAUCGCUAGUAAUCGUGGAUCAGCAUGCCACGGUGAAUACGUUCCCGGGCCUU
rnacentral:rRNA from 1 species